CUUCUCGACGUCAAAGCUUCUUCUUCAUUUUCGAUCAACAUUUCAUCUCUGAUCUCUCUCUCCCUUCUGGGUUUCAUCAUCUCAGCCUCUUUCUCCGAUCUCAACGACGCCGUGGGUUUCAUCAUCUCAGCCUCUCUCUCCGAUCUCUCUCUUCGAUUUGAUUCUUAUCUCCUCAGAUUUGGGUUUCAAGCAUUGUUGAGCAUCUCAAAGCUCUCUUCUCCAAACGGGCCAAACCCAUCUCUUCCUUUUCUCAUCUGAGACGCAAACCUCGAGCUCUUUCAUCCGAUUUGGGUUAUCACGAGCUCUCUUAUCUCCUCUGAUUGAGGUGUUGGCGAAGAAGAAAAGUGUGGUGGGGAUGGUCUUGCAGGCUAUUGUUAGACAGUUACAAGCUGCAACCACGUCAUGAUAUCCCACUACAAGAAAAAUGGGUUUUGAUAGCAGUGGAGGAUAACGUUUUUUGCGUUUCUACUAUGGUUGAUAUACCCGUUAGUUUUAGAUAGCGUUUGUAUAUUUAGAAACGCUAUGAUAGAAUUGUAUAUUUAAAACCGCUAUAGUAGCAUAUUAUUAAUAGCACAUUAUUAAAAACGCUA